GGUAAAGCGAGCUGCGCUAGAGCUGCAAUGACCCAUUGGCGAAAUUAGCGUCGUAAAAGAUCAUAAUCGUAACAAAUUUUGAUGUGGGGCAUCGUCUCGCAACGUAUGGAGUGUGUGUGCAUCAUCUGCAAAACUGUAGGGCUCGUGUUGCGACAUGUAUACACCGGACGCUGACAUUCGAUAGUCGCACAGUUUGGCCUUCACAGAUCUUUUUGAGACUCAGCGCUCGCCUACUGUGCUUUUGAUUUGAUCGCGGAAGGUGGUUGGUGCCGUGUUACCAAUUAAGUUCAGAUGGUGGUGCGGCCCAGCAAAUGUAGCUAGCCCAGCUGCACACUGCCUUUGCGCGCUGUCUUCACGCCUUGCAUUCACCGAAGCGGCGAUGACGAGAGUGUGUCCAUUGACCAUAUUUUGUUGGUUGCGAUGUCAUGUGUGUGCACGGAUUGACUUUCGGCAGGACAUUUCCUGACUAGUGUUCAGCUAUCUUGACCGAGUGGCCGACUGCAUGCAGUUGAACAGCCUACGAGGCGUGUUACUCGAACACUUGCGUUACGUCUCUUAUAUGUAGCUUCCCUGUUGCUGUUGUGGCUAAGGAGUUACGUUAGCUUAACGCUUUCCAUGGGACGUCUCAUCUUUGGCCAAUUGCGGCAUUUCAUUUGGGUUGUGCUCCAGAUGAAGAUGUAGAAACUAACCUCAUCCUAUUAACGCAGUGCCUACAAUCCUGACCGAGUUGCUGUAUCUCCAUUAAUUUAACACAAUAAGAAGUUCAAAUCAAUUGCAAGGUGCACACGACAGAAACGGUGUGAAAUCUGGUAUUGGUUCUUAUUAAAAUAUUGUUACACAAGAGCAGACUGCACACAGAGAACGCACAAUAUGACUGCUGAUGUUGAAUGUUCUUACUGCCCUGUUUCCUUUUAUGCACUGAAAUUUGAACAGCCAGACUACUUUCACUGUCAUUUCAUUAUGUUUGGCUUUGAAUAGUUUUAAUAAUAAUAUUAUCGGGGGUUUUACAUGCCAAAACCACAAUAUGAAUAUGAGCGCACUGUAGCAGAGAGCUCCAGAAAUUUUAACCAUCUGGUGUUCUUAAACGACAUUGCACCGUACA